UUACCUGGUCCGGACAUCGAUAGGAUUGACAGACUAAUAGAUCUUUCAUGAUACGGUGGGUGGUGGUGCAUGGCCGUUCUUAGUUCGUGGAGCGAUCUGUCAGGUUUAUUCCGGUAACGAACGAGAUCACGUUCUUCAUUUGGGGAGCUGUAUUCAUCUUUGAUUGCAUUACAGUUUCGGCUGUGGUAAUGGAAAUUUUUGUUUACAAAAGUUUCUGCUAUCAUUGUUGAAGGCAUCGUAUAGUUGCCAAGGGUGUAUUGGUUGAGGUGGCAACAUCAAGGCUGAUGCAUUUGAGGUAAUCUGUGCGCUCCCUCCGGCUUAGCAGUGCAUGUCUUGCAAGAGUCGUGUAUUGUAUCAUGGAGAGACAACGGAAAAUAUUUUAAAAAUCCGAGGAAGUGUGGCUAUAACAGGUCUGUGAUGCCCUUAGAUGUUCAGGGCUGCACGCGCGCUACAAU
rnacentral:rRNA from 1 species